rnacentral:lncRNA from 1 species
AGACCUUGCAGUAUCAAGUCAGUGCAGAGCCUGAGGCCUUCUACUAGGAAAAGCAAAAUCACAUUUACCAGGCUGCAACGUUAAGCUUAAGGUUAAUGAUCAGUAUGUACUAUAUUCUGUGGUUUCAAGACAUACCCUCACUUUCAGUAACAGGUGUACAGGUGGUGAAAAACAGUUACAGUCUUAGCAUAGACUUGUCGGCAUUCACGUCUGCAAAGAAAGUGCAAUAACAGCAUUUGAAAAUGGAAAAAGCAUACUGCAAGAUUUGAUCUUUGACAUUAAACAGUCACUUGUGUCUGAAAUGCUACUGGGAUACUCUACUAAGACUAAAAUUCAAAGCAAAAUGAGAAAAAACAUGUUUUCAGUUCACACUUUGCCUAAUAAAUCAAAGUAUGAUACAGUAGAGAAAACUGAAUCCUCUCUAUCAUGGAAACCUCAAAGGAGUUCUCCAGUUGUGUUCAACAGACCACCACUUUUUAAAGUUAUAACAAUUCCUUGGAAACAGAGACCAUGUCUGUUUCUAUGCUGAAAAAGUGUCUAGAUAAUGAAG